CGUGAGUAACCUGCCUUGGAGUGGGGAAUAACACAGUGAAAACUGUGCUAAUACCGCAUAAUGCAUUUGGGUUGCAUGAUUCUGAAUGCCAAAGAUUUAUCGCUCUGAGAUGGACUCGCGUCUGAUUAGCUAGUUGGCGGGGUAACGGCCCACCAAGGCGACGAUCAGUAGCCGGACUGAGAGGUUGGCCGGCCACAUUGGGACUGAGACACGGCCCAG
rnacentral:rRNA from 1 species